CCUACAGGAGGCAGCAGUGAGGAAUAUUGGUCAAUGGGCGCGAGCCUGAACCAGCCAAGUCGCGUGAGGGAGGACGGCCCUACGGGUUGUAAACCUCUUUUGCCGGGGAGCAACGGGCGUCACGUGUGGCGCCACUGAGAGUACCCGGAGAAAAAGCAUCGGCUAACUCCGUGCCAGCAGCCGCGGUAAUACGGAGGAUGCGAGCGUUAUCCGGAUUUAUUGGGUUUAAAGGGUGCGUAGGCGGGUCGUGAAGUCAGUGGUCCAAUUGAGGGGCUCAACCCCUUCCCGCCAGUGAAACUGGCGUGCGUGAGUGGAAGAGAAGUAGGCGGAAUGCGGGGUGUAGCGGUGAGAGG
rnacentral:rRNA from 1 species